CCUAGCGCACCGCAUUGCUCCAGGUCAGUGGACAGUAAAGUUCGGCAGAGACGUCAAGGGUUAGCCUCACCAAACCACGGGCAAUGACUGUGGUGUCUUCAUACUGAUGUAUGCACUCAACUUCAGCACAGAUGCUCUACUUUGGUUUACCGAGCGGGACAUAGCACAGAUCCGGAAAUGGUGGUGCAUUAUGCUCAUGGAACGGUACCAGAUUGAAGGGUCCAGUUUCAAAAGUCCGACAUGUGCUUCAUAUUGGAGCUGCCAAACUGUCUUCUCUCGGACCUUCUGAUGGAAGUGGUUCUCCAGGAAGGUGACAAAGCGUACUCAUCACUCACUCUAGUGUGUACCACCUUCAGAGACACAAUGUCCACUGUGUCUUUCAGAAGAGGGGCCCACUUUCGCUGGCUUGAGAGUGUUGCUACAUGGAGUUUGUUCUCUGCUUCAUACAAGCAGGAUUUCAACGUCAUGUACACCAUUGACACCUGCCGUGGAUGCUUGGAGCCUUACAAAAACUGCAAACCAGGAUAUGUUGGGAAAGGUAAAAGAGGAGAAUUGCAGGGCAUCUACUCUGAUGACCAACAUCCAGGCUAUUGCAGUCCCUUCUGCAACCAGAUAUCAUAGUUUGGUUUUCCCGGACGC